AUGGUGACAUGUGCGGAAAACAUAGGUGUGCCCCGUGGCGCUGUCAUGUUCAGGCACGCGCUGCUUGCUGUUUCAUCUCUUAGGAAAGAGGAGAUCUUGCUGGGAUGUUCAGCCAAAGUGGAGUACUUGAGGAAUACGUUCAGGUGGAUGGAUGCUGAGGUGGGCAUUGCUUUUUCUAAGUAUCCAUUGGUGCUGAAUAAAUCCAAGGAAUCACUGCAGCGCAGGUCUGAGUUCCUCAUCUCCGAGGUGGGCUUGGAACCAGUGUACAUUGCUCAUCGACCCGUACUGCUAGGUUUCAGCCUAGAGGACCGGCUCAGGCCCCGGUACUAUGUUGUGAGGUUUCUCAAGGAAAAUGGAUUGCUCAAGCGCGACCCAAUCUACUAUAGUGUUUUCAAGGAGUCCGACAUGACAUUCAAGAAGAAGUUCAUACACCCUCAUAAGGAAGCUGCACCGCACCUUGAAAAAGACUACGAUGCUGCUUGCAUAGGGGAAGUGCCCACUAAUUUCAUAUUCACAUAA
rnacentral:rRNA from 1 species